rfam:Schistosoma rodhaini strain Burundi genome assembly, scaffold: SROB_scaffold0001717
AUUCAGCUGACGAGUCCCAAAUAGGACGAAACAUGUAU